GCCAAUUUACAUCAAAUGUCGCAGCGCUCCAUUAAGGCCGUAACCAAAGUCUCCCUUGACUGAUUCUCCUAACCUAAAAAAUUUCUACUUAGCUAGCUCUAUCUGCUGGGGAAAAUGCAAAGGAAAACAAAAUUUAAAAAAUAUGUGACCAAUCACAAUCCGUAACAAAUUUAAUUUUUAAUUGACAUUUUAUUCUGACAAUCAAACUUUGUCAGAAAAAUUACGAACAGAAGUGAAAAGGCAGUAUAAUUUGAUAAUUUAUUAAAGUGAAUACCUAUCUGAACUAUAAAAGGGAAGAAGCAUUUAAAGUAGAAAGCGUGAUGCACAUUGCUUCUAGAUAAUAACUUAAAUGGAUUUUGAUCGUUAAUUAUCAGAAUGAAAUUAUUUUGGCCUAGUUUUCAUUCUCUCAAAAAUGGAUUUUGAAAAUUUGCACCUAUGUGGAACGUUAUUUUAAUAUAAUUUUCGAAUUAAUUGAGCACUUGGCUGGAAACUUGGAACGUGGUUUUUAGUAAUGAAACACUAUCAAAAACAACAAUUUCUAAACCCUUAGAUAAACAAAACGAUUUGAACAAUAAUUUUGGGAAAAUUAUUCCAAAACUAUCAAUGGUUUGCAGAAAAUGGUAAAAAUGGACCAACAAUAAAUACUCAUUGGUUGAAUGUUUGUGUUUUCUUACAUUAAGGCAAAAGUGUAUAAAUUACAACAAUGAAGAAGUUAUGGAAGCUUAGAAAAACUGUAUAAAUAGCUUUUGUAGAAAUCUGACCUAAUUUGAAGCUACCAGAAAACUCACUAGCGUAUUCAAGAAAAUGGAACACGAGUUGUCUUCUCGGUGGUCCUGUUGAUACAAAUCGAAGUACUUGCAUGUGGUGGAAUGUUGAUUUGCGUUUUAUUAUUGUAAAAAGACAAUUGCAUUUACACGAAAGUUAUUUUCAACAAAGUUUAACUAUGGUUUAGCCUACUUUUGAAUUGUUCUUGUAUUUUGUAACAGAAAUCAGUUUAUAUUAGAUUUUUUCUGAGUUAAAACUAUUCUUGCAAUCUGUCCUUAGACUAUUGGUAUAACUUGCGAUGGUUUUUGAGCAUUAUUGAACAUAUUACUAAUCGUCUUAUGACGAUAUUUUGAAUAAGAAUAUAACUAUUAACGAUUUAGUUAAAACAAUGCGAAAAAUUGCUUGUUUAAAGAAAAUA